rnacentral:lncRNA from 1 species
GAUGAAUGUCCCAAGGGGAGGUGAAGCAGUGGGAAAUGGCAAAGGAUGAUAAUCACUGCAUCUGCAGUUGAAGACAGCUCCUUGGCUUGGCCAGUCUGAGAGGUGGUUAUAGGAUGCUGGGUAUUACACAGGACACUGAAGAGGUUGGGGAGCAUAUCUGGAUAGGGAGGCUCUGUGUGUGUGUGUGUGUGUGUGUGUGUAUAUGUAUGUGUGCAUGUGCAUGUCUGGGUCUCUGGAUACAAUUUCUCUUACUCCUCUCCCUACCUCCUGCAGAGUUUUUUGAUGCAGAAGGAAGUGAGGUAGAUUUGAACUUUGGGGGGCUCCAGGGCCGAGGGGUCAAGAAGCAGGACCCCCAAGUCGAACGGGAUCUCUACCUGUCCCUGGAGGACUUAUUCUUUGGCUGCACCAAAAAAAUUAAGAUCUCCAGAAGGGUGCUGAACGAGGAUGGGUACUCCUCCACCAUCAAGGACAAGAUCCUGACCAUUGAUGUGAAGCCCGGUUGGAGGCAGGGCACACGCAUCACCUUUGAGAAGGAAGGGGACCAGGUG